rnacentral:rRNA from 1 species
UGGGGAAUAUUGGACAAUGGGCGGAAGCCUGAUCCAGCAACGCCGCGUGAGGGAUGACGGCCUUCGGGUUGUAAACCUCUUUCAGUACCGACGAAGCGAAAGUGACGGUAGGUACAGAAGAAGGACCGGCCAACUACGUGCCAGCAGCCGCGGUAAUACGUAGGGUCCGAGCGUUGUCCGGAAUUAUUGGGCGUAAAGGGCUCGUAGGCGGUUUGUCGCGUCGGGAGUGAAAACAGCGGGCUUAACUCGUUGCUUGCUUUCGAUACGGGCAGACUAGAGGUAUGCAGGGGAGAAUGGAAUUCCUGGUGUAGCGGUGAAAUGCGCAGAUAUCAGGAGGAACACCGGUGGCGAAGGCGGUUCUCUGGCAUUACCUGACGCUGAGGAGCG